AUACGGAGGACGCGAGCGUUAUCCGGAUUCAUUGGGUUUAAAGGGUGCGCAGGCGGCCGUGCAAGUCAGCGGUGAAAGCCCGGGGCUCAACCCCGGAAGUGCCGUUGAUACUGCGUGGCUGGAAUGCGGUCGAGGCGGGCGGAACGUGGCGCGUAGCGGGGAAAUGCGUAGAUAUGCCACAGAACGCCGAUAGCGGAGGCAGCUCGCCAGGCCUGCAUUGACGCUCGGGCACGAAAGCGUGGGGAUCGAACAGGAUUAGAUACCCUGGUAGUCCACGCCGUAAACGAUGGGCGCUCGUCGUCGGCGACAGACAGUCGGCGGCCAAGCGAAAGCGAUAAGCGCCCCACCUGGGGAGUACGGUCGCAAGGCUGAAACUCAAAUGAAUUGGCGGGG
rnacentral:rRNA from 1 species